AGCGACGAACGCUUUUCACCUCCUAUAAAUCCAUCCUAAUGGGUUUCAAUCUCAGUACAAGCGUUUCUUCUCCAGCACCGCUCCAGUGGUGAAGUGACGUGAAUUCCUGGCACAUAAAGCGCGGCCCCCUUAAAGGGAAACCCAACCAAAAGCGCGUCCAAUUGCCCGAUUGCAUCAUGCUUCCUCUCCACCAAUGCCGAUCCCUGCUCUGAUUGAGG